rnacentral:rRNA from 1 species
UACGUAGGUGGCAAGCGUUGUCCGGAGUUACUGGGCGUAAAGCGCACGCAGGCGGUCUGCUAAGUUUGGAGUGACAGUUGGUGGCUCAACCACCAAAGUGCUUUGAAAACUGACAGACUUGAGGGCUUCAGAGGGACACGGAAUUCCGGGUGGAGUGGUGAAAUGCGUAGAGAUCCGGAGGAACACCAAAGGCGAAGGCAGUGUCCUGGGGAGUACCUGACGCUCAGGUGCGAAAGCCAGGGGAGCGAACGGG